CAGUGCACGUCUCAGGCAGCUGUGACGUCACCCACACGCGUCAUAACAAACCGAGCCCUUUUGAGUUUCUCGCAACUUUGCAAAUCGCAAGUACAAUUUGCUAUGUUGUGCUUCGGAUCGAGCGAACGUUAUGGUUUUCGACUGUGCCAAAUAAGCACUGAUCAGAAUACCACGGAGGUGCUACAUGCCAAAUUGCAAUUACGGCAAUGGGCCUAAAGUUGCUGUGCUUUAUUUUCCGUCUGAUGAAUCUCUAAGACUGGAUGCCUAGUAAACAUUCAGUCGUUUGUGAGCAGCAUUUCAACUAAGAAGAUAUUUUAAGCAGUACAAGUAUGUACGACCCAAAAACUGGCAAACUGUUAACAGCACCAUUGGAUCGUCGACGCUUAAGAAAAGGUGCUGUACCUAUAAAGUUAACAGAUGUCCUUGAAAGUCCCAGGGAGCUACUAGAAACUGCCUUUCGCACUGCCAUUCGAGAAAGUGUAGAAACGCAGGAGAAUUUGAUAGAAACGAUUUCUACCUGUAAUUUGGAGUAGCUGAAACGCAAAAUAAGUGACUGUGAUAAGCAUUGUGACGGGAUUGUAGUUAUCAAAAUAGACAGUGAGUGCUUAUUGUUAAUUAACCACAAUCCUUACCCAAGAGUUGUCUGCUCCUGUGUUAUAAACAGGAUUUAUCUCUAAGUGUUUUUAUUAACGAUGUGUAAUUGAAAUGUGUUGGGAAGAUGAAAUUUUCCAAGACAGUCUGCAACACAUGAGAUGUGAGUGAAAAUGUAUUUGGUGUAUAAUAAAUAUGAGGUUCCUGUUGAUAA